rnacentral:rRNA from 1 species
UGGUGGAGCGAUUUGUCUGGUUAAUUCCGAUAACGAACGAGACCUUAACCUGCUAAAUAGUUACGUGAACCUUUGCGUUCGUGGACAACUUCUUAGAGGGACUUUUGCGUGUUUUAACCAAAGGAAGUUUGAGGCAAUAACA